UUAUAUCGAAUGUACUUCGUUUGUUAUUGUCACAGCUGACAGGUAGGAAAUAUAAGCAAAUGUUUUCUAAUAAACAAAAGGAAGUAAUUAAAAACAAAUCAUAAAAGUCUAAACAUGACCACAAAGUAUUGUAUGCUAUGCCGUUCGAGAACUACGGAAAAGAAUGUUUCAGUACCAAGAGAUGAAAGCAGAAGGGAGCUGUGGUCAAGGAGCUGUGGCGUUCAAUUUACGAGUUCGAGCAAAAUUUGUAGCAAACAUUUCAAGGACUCGGACUUUUUUUACUAUCCGUCCGAAAACGCAACAAAGCGGAGACGACUGAUGCCAACUGCUGUACCGCAGAAUCAACGUGAACAAGUUCUCACAGAGCAAUUAAAAUCAGCUUGUGGGGACAAUGUUUGUGACUUCAACUCCCAAACUGACGAAGAAGUUUUGGAUUCUGGGCUUGCAUUAGACAAUUUAUGUUUGCAAAAGAAAGUUGCUGACUUGCAAAGGGAAAAAGCUAAGCUUCUUGAGCAAAUUGGGAAAACGCAGACGCUUAUUGAUUCCCUUAAUACCAUUUUCACCAAAUCGCAGAUCAGGAAACUUGAGAACGGCGGGAAAAGAGUUCAAUGGAAUCACGAUGACAUUUCGAAUGCGAUUUGUCUCCAUGCUGCUGGACCCCGGGCGUAUCGCCAUUUGAUCGAAAAGGGGUUUCCAUUUCCAUCCUUAUCCACUUUGGACAAAUGGUUAUGAAUCAAAAUAUUCUAAUUUCCUUAAAAGUAUUUAUUUCGUUCUAUAUAUUAUCAAACAAAUUUUCUUUCCGGUCAGAAGACUGCAGCGUUUGUCUCUCUCAGAACCGAGAGAGCGAGUUGAGAAAGUGGAUGGACCCUCACCACAUCGGUCAAUAGUAAAAAUUUUCAUGGAUACACAUACACCAUUGGAUACCAAGGACGAGAAACGGAAUUACAAAGAUGAACGUGAACUGGAUGCUCCUUUUUCGAAAUCAAUUUGAUUUGCUGUUCGUUAUUAUACCAAAUUUCGGGCGCUUUUUUGAUGUCGUGAAGUAAAAGGCUGAGCUGAAGGAUGGCAUUCUCACACAAUGCAUUAAGCAUAUCACAGUGGAGCGUAAAUGUAACGCGCAGGUUAUUGGCUAUCUACUUAAAGUUAAUUCCAAACUGAACGGCACCAAUCACAAGCUAAGGGAUGAGAUGCACCGUCUGCUAAAGAACACCAUGUUUUUGGGUGCCGAUGUGAGUCAUCCGUCGCCCGAUCAGCGAGAGAUCCCCAGUGUGGUGGGUGUUGCCGCCACCCAUGAUCCAUUCGGGGCUUCAUAUAACAUGCAAUAUCGCUUGCAACGCUCUGCCUUGGAGGAGAUUGAGGA